GGAAUAGGACGUGUGGUUCUAUUUUGUUGGUUCUUAGAGCUGCCGUAAUGAUUAAUAGGGAUAGUUGGGGGCAUUCAUAUUCAGUCGCUAGAGGUGAAAUUCUUGGAUUGACUGAAGAUGAACUACUGCGAAAGCAUUUGCCAAGGAUGUUUUCAUUAAUCAAGAACGAAGGUUAGGGGAUCAAAAACGAUCAGAUACCGUUGUAGUCUUAACAGUAAACUAUGCCGACUAGGGAUCGGGCGACCUCUUUAUGAUGUGUUGCUCGGCACCUUACGAGAAAUCAAAGUCUUUGGGUUSUGGGGGGAGUAUGGUCGCAAGGCUGAAACUUAAAGGAAUUGACGGAAGGGCACCACCAGGUGUGGAGCCUGCGGCUUAAUUUGACUCAACACGGGGAAACUCACCAGGUCCAGACAUAACUAGGAUUGACAGAUUGAUAGCUCUUUCAUGAUUUUAUGGGUGGUGGUGCAUGGCCGUUCUUAGUUGGUGGAGUGAUUUGUCUGGUUAAUUCCGAUAACGAACGAGACCUUAACCUGCUAAAUAGUCAGGUUGGCUUCGGCUGAUCGUAUUGACUUCUUAGAGGGACUGUCAGUGUCUAACUGACGGAAGUUUGAGGCAAUAACAGGUCUGUGAUGCCCUUAGAUGUUCUGGGCCGCACGCGCCGCUACACUGACAGAGCCAGCGAGUUUUCAAUCCCUUUACCGGAAGGUAUGGGUAAUCUUGUGAAACUCUGUCGUGC
rnacentral:rRNA from 1 species